rnacentral:lncRNA from 1 species
AUGACAGUUAAGAAGACCUCUGUCUCUUUAGGAAGAGCCAGCGAAGGGAGUCAUAUUUCUUUUGGCAUCCCCAUGCUACCAAAUUACAUCUGCUCUUCAAACAUUCUCCAGAGGGAGGACUGCAGGACCCCACUCCCCUUCCACCCGAGAAGCAGAAGCCUGCAGCACGCUCAGCUUUUCCCCCUCACACCGCUUCACCGCCCCCCUCCCCAAUCCCUGCGUUUUGACCCAACCUGCGCCUUCCAGCCCCGGUCCCCACCUGAAGCCCGGCGGGCAGCGCCCAGCGGCAUCACCUGCCGGGGUUGUGGGGUUGGGGUCGUGGGGUUGGGGCCGGCCCGCCCCGGGGCCGCGUUUGCUGAUGUAAUCUCCCGGCAGCGGGCGGUGAAACCCAACACCGCGGCGGGUGCCGGGGCGGGCGGCAGCAGCGCCGGACUCCGGCAGCCGCGGGGCUCCCCCGCGCCCCCUGCACNNNNNNNNNNNNNNNNNNNNNNNNNGAGCUCGGCGGAGAGCUCGGGGCCGCCGGGGUUUGAUGGGCAGGACCUGAGCCUCCGGCGGCGCGGCGCUCGGCUCCGGCUUUCCCUCGGACCUCCGCUGCCCGGACAAAUGCAUACAAAUGCAUUUGGGAGCCCAGAGGACAAGGCGAGGACGCAUCUCUCCCGCGGCACCAACGAAGCCCCUCCUCCUUUGUAUUGCAAUAUGUAUAGCUGCGGGUGUUGCACAAGCACCAAAACAAGGUGAGAACACUUUCUUAUACCAAGAUGCUUAGAUUGUUACUAGAUCAAGAGAGUAAAUGUCUACUAGUGACCUUAGGUUCAGUUCCUUAUGGUGACUUAAAUAUCAGCAGCAGUGCGAUGAGAGCUAAAGUUUAAAGUAAUCAGUUUGGAAAAGAUGACCUUUUGAAAAUUACUCAGACUUUCUGUCCAUGAAAUUGCUUACAUAUUUAAGCAGACUCUUCAUAAAAGAGAAGUCUUGUACAGAGAAAAGGCUUUGAUUGUGUCUUCACUGCAAGUGGGUGUCCUUGGGGGUGGCAAGCUAUGACUGAGUUACCUUUGCACUUCUGAGGGCAAACAAGCAAACCACUGCAUAUAAUAAAGGCUUAGUCUAGGCUGGCA